rnacentral:rRNA from 1 species
AAACUGGAGAGUUUGAUCCUGGCUCAGAACGAACGCUGGCGGCAGGCCUUACACAUGCAAGUCGAGCGUGAAAGGGACUUCGGUCCUGAGUAAAGCGGCGCACGGGUGAGUAACACGUGAAUAAUCUGCCCUCAUGACCGGGAUAACAGACCGAAAGGACUGCUAAUACCGGAUAAG